rnacentral:rRNA from 1 species
AUUGAACGCUGGCGGCAUGCCUUACACAUGCAAGUUGAACGGUAACAGGUCUUCGGAUGCUGACGAGUGGCGAACGGGUGAGUAAUACAUCGGAACGUGCCUAGUAGUGGGGGAUAACUACUCGAAAGAGUGGCUAAUACCGCAUGAGAUCUACGGAUGAAAGCAGGGGAUCGCAAGACCUUGUGCUACUAGAGCGGCCGAUGGCAGAUUAGGUAGUUGGUGGGAUAAAAGCUUACCAAGCCGACGAUCUGUAGCUGGUCUGAGAGGACGACCAGCCACACGGAGACUGAGAAACGACCCAGAAUCCUACGGGGGGAAGAGGGGGGGAAUUUUGGACAAUGGGCGCAAGCCUGAUCCAGCAAUGCCGCGUGCAGGAUGAAGGCCUUCGGGUUGUAAACUGCUUUUGUACGGAACGAGAAGCCCUGGGUUAAUACCCUGGGGUCAUGACGGUACCGUAAGAAUAAGCACCGGCUAACUACGUGCCAGCCGCCGCCGUAAUAC